CUCGUAGAUCCUGCAUUCAUAUUGUAUACAUCAAGUUAGGUACCAAUAAACUAAAUACAGUAACCAUAUAAAGGUCGUGUUAUCUUCUUUAUCCACAAGUCUAAUCAUUUUGCUAGAAGCAAUGACAUAAUUAUUGUCAACCGAAAAUUGUUGAUGGUCACCACAAAUUGAUCAGUUAGUUAUUGUUAAACACAAACUUGUUCAAUAAAUGUGUCAUAUUUGCUAUAUGUCAGAAAUUAACAUUACAAGUACUAGUCCUUAUGUGUAUACAUUUAAAUCAAGUUUACGGUCGACCUUUACCGUAUCUGCUGAUAGUUUACAGAAAAAAGUAUGCAUUUAAGACUUUAACUGAAUUAGACUUAAAUCUAGGGUGGUACUUACACACGCAACAUCACAGGUGUCACAUGUUGAUCAGGAUCUACUUACUCUUACCGGGAUAAGCCCCGUUUUUUUGUAUGAUUCUUGUUGCGUGUCUUUUUUAUAUUGAAUUCGUAUACCGUUGUUUGUCUUUAUAUAUGCUGAUAUUUCCGACUUAAAAUAUUACCUUUUAACAAAUUUUACAAGAAAUUCAUUAUCCAAAGUCAAUUGAUAGUACAGGGAGAAAAAAACAGAUUACGUUCCAUAAC
rnacentral:lncRNA from 1 species